rnacentral:rRNA from 1 species
GCCGGAUUAAUACCGCAUAUGCUCUACGGAGGAAAGCAGGGGACCUGAAAGGGCCUUGCGCUAUGGGAGCGGCCGAUGUCCGAUUAGCUUGUUGGCGGGGUAAUGGCCCACCAAGGCGACGAUCGGUAGCUGGUCUGAGAGGAUGAUCAGCCACACUGGGACUGAGACACGGCCCAGACUCCUACGGGAGGCAGCAGCGGGGAAUUUUGGACAAUGGGGGAAACCCUGAUCCAGCCAUGCCGCGUGAGUGAAGAAGGCCUUCGGGUUGUAAAGCUCUUUUGGUCGGAAAGAAGGGGUUCGGGUGAAUAACCUGGAUCUUUGACGGUACCGGCAGAAUAAGCACCGGCUAACUACGUGCCAGCAGCCGCGGUAAUACGUAGGGUGCGAGCGUUAAUCGGAAUUACUGGGCGUAAAGAGUGCGUAGGCGGUUCUCCAAGUCCGUUGUGGAAUCCCCGGGCUCAACCUGGGAAUGGCAGUGGAAACUAGGG